CGGUACCCGGAGAAGAAGCCCCGGCGUAACUUCGUGCCAGCAGCCGCGGUAAUACGAAGGGGGCUAGCGUUGCUCGGAAUUACUGGGCGUAAAGGGAGCGUAGGCGGACAUUUAAGUCAGGGGUGAAAUCCCGGGGCUCAACCUCGGAAUUGCCUUUGAUACUGGGUGUCUUGAGUAUGAGAGAGGUGUGUGGAACUCCGAGUGUAGAGGUGAAAUUCGUAGAUAUUCGGAAGAACACCAGUGGCGAAGGCGACACACUGGCUCAUUACUGACGCUGAGGCUCGAAAGCGUGGGGAGCAAACAGGAUUAGAUACCCUGGUAGUCCACGCCGUAAACGAUGAUUGCUAGUUGUCGGGAUGCAUGCAUUUCGGUGACGCAGCUAACGCAUUAAAGCAAUCCGCCUGGGGAGUACGGUCGCAAAGAUUAAAAACUCAAAGGGAAUUGAC
rnacentral:rRNA from 1 species